rnacentral:rRNA from 1 species
GACGAACCGUCCAAACGUUAUUCGGAAUUACUGGGCUUAAAGGGUGCGUAGGCGGCUCUGCAAGUUGGGUGUGAAAUCCCUCGGCUCAACCGAGGAAUGGCGCCCAAAACUGUGGAGCUCGAGGGAGACAGAGGUGAGUGGAACUUGUGGUGGAGCGGUGAAAUGCGUUGAUAUCACAAGGAACACCGGUGGCGAAAGCGGCUCACUGGGCUUCAACUGACGCUUAAGCGCGAAAGCUAGGGUAGCGAACGGGAUUAGAUACCCGUGUAGUCCCUGA